GACGAACGCUGGCGGCGUGCUUAACACAUGCAAGUCGAACGGUAAGGCCCUUCGGGGUACACGAGUGGCGAACGGGUGAGUAACACGUGGGUGAUCUGCCCUGCACUUCGGGAUAAGCCUGGGAAACUGGGUCUAAUACCGGAUAGGACCACUGCCUGCAUGGGUGGUGGGGGAAAGCUUUUGCGGUGUGGGGUGGGCCCGCGGCCUAUCAGCUUGUUGGUGGGGUGAUGGCCUACCAAGGCGACGACGGGUAGCCGGCCUGAGAGGGUGACCGGCCACACUGGGACUGAGAUACGGCCCAGACUCCUACGGGAGGCAGCAGUGGGGAAUAUUGCACAAUGGGCGCAAGCCUGAUGCAGCGACGCCGCGUGAGGGAUGACGGCCUUCGGGUUGUAAACCUCUUUCAGCACCGACGAAGCGCAAGUGACGGUAGGUGCAGAAGAAGGACCGGCCAACUACGUGCCAGCCGCCGCGGUAACAC
rnacentral:rRNA from 1 species